GGCAGAUUAAUGAUGAAACAAUUACCCCAAGCGCUUUAUUCCACUGAUUUCAGUGUGAUGGAAAGCUAUGUUAUCAUAGCUUUUGUGGUUUUCAAUCUGAAACAUCU
rfam:Setaria italica strain Yugu1 chromosome III, whole genome shotgun sequence.